rnacentral:misc_RNA from 1 species
GGCACCCAUGUUCAUAAAUCUAAAAUGUCAUUUGAUUGCUAAGAAAUUAGUGAAGAAUAGAACUGCCAAACCUAAAACCUGUAAGAUUAAGAGUGAUUUAUAAUCUGCCUAUUCAACCUUUCAUGAAGCAACCAAAUGGACCAUUGCCUCAACAAUCAGGGGAUUUUAAGCACAUAUGUGCACUUAAUGCAACAAAGCUGAUAAAAUAAACAGCAAUCACCAAGUGCUUGUAAAAUGUCAAUAUUCUCACCUCCAAACUCUUCACAAAGAUAG